UCAGUCACAUGUCACCACUUGGCAACACGUCCCUCCUCCCUGGAGCAUGCUGGCUGGAUCCUCACAGAGUCCUGGGGGCAGCCUGAGUCACACCUGCCCUCCAGGGCUCUGAGCCUUGGGUCCCAGAUGGGCCCACUGCCUUCCCUCUCCCCCAGCCUCAGGUGGGAGGGACCUGAGCAAGAAAACUCCAGAAUCCCUAGAAAGAAAUCCUUGGAACCCAGUGUGGGAAACAUUACUCUGGGUGUUCAUCUCUUUUUGAACAUCUACUGAGCUUCUGCUUACCUCCACAAAGAGGAUGGGGAUAACAGGAACCACUUUGCAGGGUCGAUAAAUGAGACGAUGUAUGAUGUUAGCGCCGGCCAUGGAUUACAUUGCACAGAAGCUCCCCGAAGGCAAGGACUUGGUUUCCCUCACUGCUGUAACGUGGGAGCCGCACCGCACCGUGCCCUGCCCAGAGCGGCAGCCUGCAGACGAUGGACUGGAUGGAUGCAGCACGCGGUUUUUACAUAAUUGCCCAGAGUACCUUCAACUUCAACCCCCUUUUCUUUUCUUAUCCAGGACGCCUCUCACUGCUUCCUCCUUGUGUCCACGUGCAUGGGGGGGGGGGGGGAACACCCCGCCCUGCACACCUGCACGUCCCCAGGCCGCUUCGCUGCUGUCUCUCAAGUGUCUCUCAUCACCUGCAGGGGGAGAAGGGGAACCGUGAGGCUGAAUCCAACCCUUGCUUUCCUACCCCCUCCUCCAUUCAGUGAUCACAUUGCUCCCCCUUUAUAUACCUGAAAUCCCAGCCCAUUCUCUAACGUACUUUGUACGGCCUCACUACCCAGGGGUUGGUUUAAAAAAAAAAAAUUGCCACUAUGUCUUUCCAA